GAUACUGUACACUACACCGACUCUUUCACCAUUGAUUGCUACUAGCUACUGCUGCAUUUGCUAUUACUGGAGGCUAUGCACUGCCUCCAUUAGCACUUUCAUCUACUGCAUUAAAGCAGCAAGUUGUUGUAGAUCCGUAGUAAUGACCAGAUGCAAAGAAUUGAGCUCUGUCGUUGGAGAUGGAGGUGAUAGAUCUUCUCAGUGGGAAGACUGCCUAGCAAAGCUGGUGGAGUUGUUUUGGACUCUUGUCUUUAUCAUAAUUGGAUUCGUUCUCCUCCCUUCACGAUGCGUCAAUCUGUUGCGGCCAAUCCUCGAGUGCGCUUGAGUUCGUUGAAGAGCUACCUGCAAAACAAACCUGUUGAUCAGAUUUUUAUCCGACGGAGAUCCUUCGAUGCUUAAGUCAGUAGAGAGUAGUAAAUAAUAAAUUUAAAAUAGAAUUUGACAGAGUUUUUAGCCCAAUAUGUCUUCCCCUUACUAUCCCCUUACCUCCGCUUUAUAUAGGUAAUUUAAGUGUAAUCGUCGAACACGUAGAGUCUCGCUUAUUGUGGCAUGAAAGGAUAGUUUACCCCUAUUAUCGGACCAUUACCAUGGAGUUAGUGGAUAGUUUAUGCCCACUAAUAGUCACAGUGUGUAGUAGUUUUUUCCACGAUUGCGGUGUUAUAACUAUAGAAUCUGAUAUAUCGAUUGUGUGUCGGUGAUCUUAGUGUACCGACUGUAUGUCGAUGCUUUUGAUAUGUUGAUUAAUUAUCGAUCGAUGACUCUAAUAUACUGACUAGCUAUCGGUCAUGUAGUCAAUUGAGUCGUUAUGUUUAAUAUGGAAUCGCUAGGGAGUCGAUAGUCGAAUUAUUGACUGAUAGUCGGAUGAUGAGCCUCAUAGAUGCUGUAGUUGGACCAAAACUCGCUCAGUGGUUCGACUUUAACAGUCUACCACCAGAUGCCGACACACAGUCAGGAGGUCGACCAUGAAGCGGGAGAAGCAAAUUCGAUUGUCCCAAUAGUAAUAAUCUUCCUACGUGCAACUGAUGCAAAGGCCGUAGAUACAAGGGGCCACUAGAAAUAGUGUCUCUGUAUAUGUAUGCAUACAAUGUAGUCUUCAAGAGCAUUAUUUUCUAGAUCAUAAUUU
rnacentral:lncRNA from 1 species